GGCGGGGCUUCCACGGAGGCCUCCGUGUAGGCCGCAGUGAAGCCUGAACUCGAGUAGGGCCCAAGCAAGCCAGGAAGGAGGAGGCAGCCAGAGUGUUCUCUGCAGCAGAAGACCCCUUGCUGCCCUGCUUAACCCAGACCAGCAUUUGCCAGUCAGCAUUGUACCCAGAUCACUCAUCAGAAGAAAAAUAACUGAAUGAUCAAGGACAUUCAGCAUCAACCUGUGUUGCUUUUACUGAUUUCAGUUACAUGGAUGGUUGAUGCUCAGGAAGCCAAUAUCUUCUUCAUUUUAUACUGUCAUCUUCAUAAAGCUUUCCACAGAUCUGCUUGCUUGGAAGGAGAAAGCAAACAGCAGCAGGGGCAGGAUUACCAACCACAUUCUUAAACAGAUCCACAGUCUUCAGAAAUGUUGACAAACUGCUCUUAGUUCAACAGGACCUAGCAGAGACUCAGGCAAGCAUUGCUCAGAGACCACUAGAGAACAGGGAAAAGAGAAAGGGCUCACUCAUUCGACAGAACAUGGAGACUUGGGUCUUGGAAGAUGAAGAUGGUCUUGGAAGGUGAUGACUAGGGUUAGAUCUGGACAUCAUAACUGCAAGCCCACCCCACCAGUACCACAUAGAAGAUAUUGUCAUAGGGAAAGAAGCACUGGAGGUGGCUGUGUCAGCCUAGGUUUGAAUGUAGCUCUCACCCCACCAGUGCCACAUGGCGGGAGGGUGGUCAUGGCUGAGGUUAGAGAUCCUGAUGGCCUAUCAGCUGCAAUUUAAGCACUGAUUCAAAAACUGUAUUAUGAUGUGGCGACGUAUAGAAAGUAUUCCAUAUCAUGCAUUUAAAAUAAGAUAAUGUGUGGACUCCAACCAUUGAUGAGUAGAAAACAUAGUUAAGACAGUCAUUAAGAAAAAAGGCCAUCUCUAUCACUUAGGUAAAAAGAACUUACAAUGCAACAGUAACUGUCUCAUUUUUUAAAAUGAAAAAUAUGUAGUAUGGCAGUCUUAUUUUUAUAAGAUAAAUAUGAAGAUUUAUUUUGCAAAUAAAUAUAAAGUGUG